ensembl:lncRNA
AAUCAUGUGCUGCAUUUUUUGAAAUACAAAAUGUUUUAAUAUAGAAGAACACAUAGUUUUCUCCGACCUCCGAUGAUUAUAGCGAAUUCUUUGCUUGGUUACAAAGGUACUACUUAGUGUAAGUCGUGACAUUUGCCAAGUAUGGUAACCCAUACUCAGAAUUGGUGCUGCAUUUAACCCAUCCAAGUGCACACACACAGCAGUGAGAAGUGAACACACCGUGAACACACACCCGGAGCAGUGGGCAGCUAUAUAUCCAGCGCCCGGGGAGCAACAGGGGGUUCAGUGCCUUGCUCAAGGGCACUUCAGCCAUGGGUAUUGAGGGUGGAAGAGAGCACUGUUCAUUCACUACUCACCCACCUACAACUCCUGCCAGCACCGAUACUCGAACCUGCAACCUUCUGGUUACAAGUCCAUUUCUCUAACCAUUAGACCACAGCUGCCCCUUAGAUAUAAACAUGAUUUUCUUUGUAGAAACCAUUUAAUCUACAUCUAUUUUUGAUUCAUGAUUUUAGAUUUUAGCAUAAAUGUAGCCUAAAUGCUAUAGUUACACCACACAACAUAAUCCAAAAACAUUUUUUGUUUGAUUGUUGAUGGUGUAAGUAACGUUACAUGUAUUAACAGGAGGCCUGUUUAAAAAGUCGAAGAGGUUGUUAUUGAGACGCGAGGCAGUUUUUUGACUGCUUUUCAGCUGAAUCGCAUUUUGCAGACAGACAGUUCCCAAGGGGUUAGCCAUUAUGCUAGACAUUCUUCUCCAUCAAGUUAUUUGCUUGUUUAAUAAGGUAAUAACCCAAAAUAAUUUUUUAUUAUUUUUAUCUUAUACUGUACAGGAAUUAUUCACUCUAUGUAGCCUACUUGUAUUUCCGAGACAGUAAACAACACUAAUAUUAGGUAAGUAUGACUUAAGGCCAUUCUUGUUCAUUUAAAAGCAGACCAAAAGAUAAAAUCAUGAAGAAUGUCUUGUCCCAGGCCGACAGCCUUGAGGUUGCACACCUGGAAAUCAAGCUUCUUCUGACACAUUUGAUGACAGUUUCUGCAAUGUUGAGAAGAUGCCAAAUCUACUUGCCAACCCUCGUCUUAUUCUGUGUGGUUAGUAACAUUGUCACAACUAAUGCUGGUGGUCAGUUGCAAAGGGAGUACUUUUUAAAGAAAACCGACUCAACAUUGAAAAUGUUCCAAUAAUUUACUUACCCUCAGACCAUCAAAGAUGUAUAUGACUGUAUUUUUGUCAUCAGAACACAGUUUUUUUUUUUUUUUUUUCAGAAGGAAAUCCAGGUUUUGCAGAUGCAUUAACUGGUGCCAUCGCAUUUACAGUGAAAACAAGAGAUAAAAGGUAGCAUUACAACAAUCCACACAUCUCCACUCAAUCAGGCAAUGUCUUCUGAUGUGAAGCUCUAUGUUUGUAUAUAAAGCAUUUCAAAAUUAAGACUAUUAUUGGUGGUAUCAAUAUUUUCCUGUUACUAAGAAUUCGUAUCACAAACUAAAAUGGAAGCAGCAAUAUCCAUUGAUACAAACUGUGAUGUAAGCAGUGCUUGGCCAGUGUUUAUUCUGUGGAUUUUAAUGUAAGAAGAGCAGAAAAAGUUUGUUUUCCUCGAGGAAUUUACUUAGUUAUGCAUGCAGGUAAUUUAACACAGUCCCAUUAAUAUUUUGUAUUUUG